CUAAAACAAUAUAUCAAGCAACAUAGUGCUUUCGAGCCUUUCGAGCUGAGAGUCUGGGAAAUAUCUAAAAGAUGGCAUCGAUUCGAAAUAAAGUUGCAGUGUUGCUGUUAUAUGUUGUGUUGACUGACAGCCGUAGGAAUGCAUCAAAGAAUUGUACGAAUGAUACAAAAUAAUUGAUCAAACCAAAAAUUUAUAUUGAAAACGACACAGAGGUGUUCUCAUUUGAUGAAGGAAAGAAUUUGACGUUUCUACAACGUAACGUCUUAUCCUGCUGCCGACAUCUUUUGGUGGCGUUUAAAAUAUGAUGGAUCCAACGAGCAGAUUUAAACAAGUUGUUCUGCGGCUGAGCAACAUUGCAAAUAUCAUGACGGAAAAAAAAUUACAAGAAACAAAUUUGAAGUAAAGUCUGUCAGAUUCCCUGAUGAUAAUAUAACCUACAAGAUCAAUGUAAGCAAUAUGAAAGGAUAUGAGAUCAAGAAUAUUUCAAUACAAAUUCUCGGUUAGUCCUGUUCGAAAAAGUAUUUGAGUUAAGCCUAGCAUUGAAAUUUGAAACGAAAAUAUAGUUUUGAAGAAAGGAUUUUCGGUGUUGAAAUGUACAUUAAACCAGAGACAUUACCCAAAAGAAGUAACCUUCAAAUGGUUCAUCUGCAUAUCUGAUACCUGCUACGACGACAAACAUUGGAAAUACAUUUCAUUCAACUAUUCUUUAAAAGUACAAAAUGAGGGCAGGUACCGCUGCAGUGCAUGCAAUACAGGUGGAACAGCUAUAUCGCCAACAAUAAACGUCGUCAGGGAUAUGUCAACAAAAACUAAUGUUGUCAAAAACAACAAUCACACAGACAAGUCUUCUUUAUCAAUGUCGCAGAAUUUGAGGUCGUCCAACAAUAUAAUCUGCACUAUGACUAUUUUAAUGAUUGUGUUUCACUGACAAAGAAUAAGCAAAUCGCAACAUAUUAAAAAAUCUACAAUCUAAGCUUUUCAUCUGUCACAACUGAUCACCAAUACCUAAUUGCACUCCAACCUACAUUCUAUCACCAUAUUUAUAAUUUUUAUGUAUAAAAUUAGAUAUCAUCUUACAUCAAUCAUGGCAAAAAUAUAUUGUUGUUGUUUUUAUCUUUACUAAAGAAGCUAAAUGCAAAAA